UACGGAGGGUGCAAGCGUUAUCCGGAUUCACUGGGUUUAAAGGGUGCGUAGGUGGGUUUGUAAGUCAGUGGUGAAAUCUCUAAGCUUAACUUGGAACUGCCGUUGAUACUAUAGAUCUUGAAUAUCCUGGAGGUGAACGGAAUAUGUCAUGUAGCGGUGAAAUGCUUAGAUAUGACAUAGAACACCAAUUGCGAAGGCAGUUCACUACGGGAUUAUUGACACUGAGGCACGAAAGCGUGGGGAUCAAACAGG
rnacentral:rRNA from 1 species